GUGAGGAAUAUUGGGCAAUGCUCGAAAGAGUGACCCAGCAACGCCGCGUGAAGGAUGAAUGUCGUAAGAUUGUAAACUUCUUUUCUUAGGGACGAAAAAGCCAUUGGGCCUUGACUGUACCUAAGGAAUAAGCCCCGGCUAACUACGUGCCAGCAGCCGCGGUAAUACGUAGGGGGCAAACGUUGUCCGGAUUUACUGGGUGUAAAGGGCGCGUAGGCGGACUUGUAAGUCAGUGGUGAAAUCCUACGGCUUAACCGUAGAACUGCCUUUGAUACUGCAAGUCUUGAAUUUGGAAGAGAGAGAUGGAAUUCCAGGUGUAGUAGUGAAAUACGUAGAUAUCUGGAAGAACACCAGAGGCGAAGGCGGUCUCUUGGUCCAUAAUUGACGCUGAGGCGCGAAAGCGUGGGGAGCGAACAGGAUUAGAAACCCGAGUAGUCC
rnacentral:rRNA from 1 species